UACUUGAAUAUUAAGAGUUAUGAGCUUUAAAUUCAGAGAAUUUGGCGGUAUUUUAGUCUUGUUAGAGGAACCUGUUCUGUAAGCGAUACUACACGUAGAAUCUUACUUACUUUUGUUUUUCAGCUUGUAUACCGUCAUUAUUAGAUAACCCUUAUUGGGUUAGUUAUUGAACUAUAAAAAAUUAAAUAUAUUAGAUCAAGGUGCAGUUAAUGGGUAAGAAGAAAUGGGUUACAUUGAAAUUUAUUUAGACGAAUUGGUAGUUGAAAGGUUUCUAUGAAGGAGGAUUUAAUUGUAACAUAAGUUUAAUAAGUUUAUGUGGUAUGAGAACUAAAAUAUGUACACAUACGCCCG
rnacentral:rRNA from 1 species